AAUCUUCCGCAAUGGACGAAAGUCUGACGGAGCGACGCCGCGUGAGUGAUGAAGGUCUUCGGAUCGUAAAACUCUGUUGGUAGGGAAGAACAAGUACGGGCCGAAUAGGUCAGUACCUUGCCGGUACCUAACCAGAAAGCCCCGGCUAACUACGUGCCAGCGGCCGCGGUAACACGUAGGGGGCAAGCGUUUUCCGGAAUUAUUGGGCGUAAAGGGCGCGCAGGCGGUCUUUUAAGUCUGAUGUGAAAUCUCGUAGCUUAACUACGAGCGGUCAUUGGAAACUGGAAGACUUGAGGACAGAAGAGGAGAGUGGAAUUCCACGUGUAGCGGUGAAAUGCGUAGAGAUGUGGAGGAACACCAGUGGCGAAGGCGACUCUCUGGUCUGUAACUGACGCUGAGGCGCGAAAGCGUGGGGAGCGAACA
rnacentral:rRNA from 1 species